rnacentral:rRNA from 1 species
GAUGAACGCUGGCGGCGUGCCUAAUACAUGCAAGUCGAGCGAACAGACGAGGAGCUUGCUCCUUUGACGUUAGCGGCGGACGGGUGAGUAACACGUGGAUAACCUACCUAUAAGACUGGGAUAACUUCGGGAAACCGGCGCUAAUACCGGAUAACAUGUUGAACCGCAUGGUUCAACAGUGAAAGACGGUUUUGCUGUCACUUAUAGAUGGAUCCGCGCCGCAUUAGCUAGUUGGUAAGGUAACGGCUUACCAAGGCAACGAUGCGUAGCCGACCUGAGAGGGUGAACGGCCACACUGGAACUGAGACACGGUCCAGACUCCGACGGGAGGCAGCAGUAGGGAAUCUUCCGCAAUGGGCGAAAGCCUGACGGAGCAACGCCGCGUGAGUGAAGAAGGUCUUCGGAUCGUAAAACUCUGUUAUAGGGAAGAACAAAUGUGUAAGUAAAUAUGCACGUCUUGACGGUACCUAAUCAGAAAGCCACGGCUAACUACGUG